CUGUUUACUCCAGGUUAUGAGGGUGUCUAUCUCUGUCUGACCAAUAGGAACUAGAUCCCUAGCAUACUGUUUACUCCAGGUUAUGAGGGUGUCUAUCUCUGUCUGACCAAUAGGAACUAGAUCCCUAGCAUACUGUUUACUCCAGGUUAUGAGGGUGUCUAUCUCUGUCUGACCAAUAGGAACUAGAUCCCUAGCAUACUGUUUACUCCAGGUUAUGAGGGUGUCUAUCUCUGUCUGACCAAUAGGAACUAGAUCCCUAGCAUACUGUUUACUCCAGGUUAUGAGGGUGUCUAUCUCUGUCUGACCAAUAGGAACUAGAUCCCUAGCAUACUGUUUACUCCAGGUUAUGAGGGUGUCUAUCUCUGUCUGACCAAUAGGAACUAGAUCCCUAGUCACUUUGGAGACAUGACUUUCCCUCUCUUUCCUCACACCACUGCCGACUGCUUAGAUUUUGCCAAUCAGUCUGUUGCUAUGGUAACGUCCCACGUGCCUCCUCCCUCUCCUUCCUACCCUCCUCGUUUUUCCACCCCCCUCAGGCAGUACCUCAU